AGAGGUGCCAUGGCUCAGUGGCAGAGCAUCUGCUAAGCAUUCAACAGGUCCUGGGUUCAAACCCUGGCAUUUCCA